rnacentral:rRNA from 1 species
UUAGGAAUCUUCCACAAUGGGCGAAAGCCUGAUGGAGCGACGCCGCGUGAGGGAUGAAGGCCUUAGGGUUGUAAACCUCUAAAAGAGGGACGAUAAUGACGGUACCUCUUGAAUAGCACCGGCUAACUCCGUGCCAGCAGCCGCGGUAAUACGGAGGGUGCAAGCGUUAUCCGGAAUCACUGGGCGUAAAGGGCGCGUAGGCGGCGCGGUAAGUCACUUGUGAAAUCUCUGAGCUUAACUCAGAACGGCCAAGUGAUACUGCUGUGCUAGAGUGCGGAGGAGGCAACCGGAAUUCUUGGUGUAGCGGUGAAAUGCGUAGAUAUCAAGAGGAACACCUGAGGCGAAGGCGGGUUGCUGGGCCGACACUGACGCUGAUGCGCGAAAGCCAGGGGAGCAAACG